rnacentral:rRNA from 1 species
AGAGUUUGAUCCUGGCUCAGGAUGAACGCUAGCGGCAGGCUUAACACAUGCAAGUCGAGGGGCAGCAUAGAUGUAGCAAUACAUUUGAUGGCGACCGGCGCACGGGUGCGUAACGCGUAUGCAACCUACCUAUAACAGGGGGAUAAUCCGAAGAAAUUUGGUCUAAUACCCCAUAAUAUCCAGGAAGGCAUCUUUUUGGGUUGAAAGCUCCGACGGUUAUAGAUGGGCAUGCGUUGUAUUAGGUAGUUGGUGAGGUAAUGGCUCACCAAGCCGACGAUACAUAGGGGGACUGAGAGGUUAACCCCCCACACUGGUACUGAGACACGGACCAGACUCCUACGGGAGGCAGCAGUGAGGAAUAUUGGUCAAUGGACGCAAGUCUGAACCAGCCAUGCCGCGUGCAGGAUGACGGCUCUAUGAGUUGUAAACUGCUUUUAUACGAGGGUAAUUGCAGAUACGUGUAUCUGUUUGAAAGUAUCGUAUGAAUAAGGAUCGGCUAACUCCGUGCCAGCAGCCGCGGUAAUACGGAGGAUUCAAGCGUUAUCCGGAUUUAUUGGGUUUAAAGGGUGCGUAGGCGGAAGUGUAAGUUAGAGGUGAAAUCCCGUCGCUCAACGACGAAAGUGCCUCUGAUACUGCUCUUCUAGCGAGAGAGUGCUGUGGGCGGAAUGUGUAGUGUAGCGGUGAAAUGCUUAGAGAUUACACAGAACACCGAUUGCGAAGGCAGCUCACAAACUCUUUUCGGACGCUGAGGCACGAAAGCGUGGGGAGCAAACAGGAUUAGAUACCCUGGUAGUCCACGCUGUAAACGAUGAUAACUCGUUGUUGGCGAUAUACCGUUCAGUGACCAAGCGAAAGCGAUAAGUUAUCCACCUGGGGAGUACGUUCGCAAGAAUGAAACUCAAAGGAAUUGACGGGGGCCCGCACAAGCGGAGGAACAUGUGGUUUAAUUCGAUGAUACGCGAGGAACCUUACCCGGGCUUAAAUUGCAGAGGACAGGCGCAGAGAUGUGCUCUUCUUCGGACCUCUGUGAAGGUGCUGCAUGGUUGUCGUCAGCUCGUGCCGUGAGGUGUCGGCUUAAGUGCCAUAACGAGCGCAACCCUUGCCGGUAGUUACCAUCAGGUCAUGCUGGGGACUCUACCGGGACUGCCAUCGUAAGAUGUGAGGAAGGUGGGGAUGACGUCAAAUCAGCACGGCCCUUACGUCCGGGGCUACACACGUGUUACAAUGGGAGGUACAGAAGGCCGCUACCCGGCGACGGGAUGCCAAUCCCCAAAACCUCUCUCAGUUCGGAUUGGAGUCUGCAACCCGACUUCAUGAAGCUGGAUUCGCUAGUAAUCGCGCAUCAGCCACGGCGCGGUGAAUACGUUCCCGGGCCUUGUACACACCGCCCGUCAAGCCAUGAAAGCCGGGGGUACCUGAAGUGCGUGACCGCGAGGAGCGCCCUAGGGUAAAACUGGUGAUUGGGGCUAAGUCGUAACAAGGUAACCGU